CAGCACCUCAAGUGGUCAGGAUGAUUAUUGGGCCUAAAGCAUCCGUAGCCGGCGCUGUAAGUUUUCGGUUAAAUCUGUACGCUCAACGUACAGGCUGCUGGGAAUACUGCAGCGCUAGGGAGUGGGAGAGGUAGACGGUACUCGGUAGGAAGGGGUAAAAUCCUUUGAUCUAUUGAUGACCACCUGUGACGAAGGCGGUCUACCAGAACACGUCCGACGGUGAGGGAUGAAAGCUGGGGGAGCAAACCGGAUUAGAUACCCGAGUAGUCC
rnacentral:rRNA from 1 species